rnacentral:rRNA from 1 species
UGCAAGUCCAAACUUAUACGUGAAUCAUCGAGAAUUUGAACGCACUGCAACCCUCCCCACAAGGGAGUGGUAUGUCCCUGUGAGCGCACCUAUACUGUUCGGGAGUCUGUCCUUGCAUGGAUAUGACCCGGGUUCGGGAUUCAUGGCCAGUCUAUUGCAGACAUGAUCACGCUUCCUUAGAUAUGCCAAUGUGACUGGAGCUUGUUGUGAGUGGCAAGUCUCUGUGGGUCAAGGCAUCUCAGCUCCAGGCUAUAUGUCUGGCAGCAUGUCCUCUGGCUUUGGCUGGUUGUAAUUGAACUUGGUGCCUCACUGUGGCAAGACGACCCGCUAGACUUAAGCAUAUUAAUCAGCGGAGGAAAAGAAACUAACUAGGAUUCCCUCAGUAACUGCGAGUGAAGCGGGAUGAGCUCAAUGUGUGAAUUGGCCAGGGGUAGCCCUCUGUGUCCGAGUUGUGCACUAAGGACACUCUGUCGGCAGGGCUUGGGGCGGAAGUGCCAAUGAAACAUGGCAUCAGAGAGGGUCAUAGUCCCGUGCUUGCCCAAUCCAAGCCUGUGUGCAGCGAGGAGUGCUCCACGAGUCGCAUAGUUUGGUAAUGCUAUGCCAAGUGGGAGGUAGAGCCCUUCUAAAGCUAAAUAUGAUGACGUGACCGAUAGUUCACAAGUACCGCGAGGGAAAGGUGAAAAGUAACCAUGUAGAAUGGGUUGAAAGAGAAGUGAAAGUGCUACCGGGAUAAGGGCAUGCGACGGCUGGUGUCUGUGGGGCGUGCUUCAGUGCUGCCCUUCCAGAACGGUGUGCGGGCGCGUCUGAUGGGGAGACAAGGCCGUUUGGGAAUGUGGCUCAUCCUUCGGGGUGAGUGUUAUAGCCCAGGUGUGCAGAGGAACCUCAGGGCGCGUGCGAACUGUGCAACUUGCGGUGGCAUGCCUCCCGUCUCGAAACACGGACCAAGGAGUGCAUCUUGCAUGCGAGUCGAAGGGGGGUGGAAUCCGUGGAGGCGUAGCGAAAGCGAAAGACUGUGAAUUGUUGGCAGGCCCUUGUGGCCGGAUGGGAUGGCAAAUCAGCAGCGACCCGCCUUGUGCGAGGGAGAGCA